UACGUAGGGCGCAAGCGUUGUCCGGAAUUAUUGGGCGUAAAGAGCUCGUAGGCGGCUUGUCACGUCGGGUGUGAAAGCCCCGGGGCUUAACCCCGGGUCUGCAUUCGAUACGGGCAGGCUAGAGUGUGGUAGGGGAGAUCGGAAUUCCUGGUGUAGCGGUGAAAUGCGCAGAUAUCAGGAGGAACACCGGUGGCGAAGGCGGAUCUCUGGGCCAUUACUGACGCUGAGGAGCGAAAGCGUGGGGAGCAAACAGG
rnacentral:rRNA from 1 species